GGAYGAACGCUGGCGGCGUGCCUAAUACAUGCAAGUCGAGCGGGGUUARUUAGAAGCUUGCUUCUAAYUAACCUAGCGGCGGACGGGUGAGUAACACGUAGGCAACCUGCCCACAAGACAGGGAUAACUACCGGAAACGGUAGCUAAUACCCGAUACAUCCUUUUCCUGCAUGGGAGAAGGAGGAAAGGCGGAGCAAUCUGUCACUUGUGGAUGGGCCUGCGGCGCAUUAGCUAGUUGGUGGGGUAAAGGCCUACCAAGGCGACGAUGCGUAGCCGACCUGAGAGGGUGAUCGGCCACACUGGGACUGAGACACGGCCCAGACUCCUACGGGAGGCAGCA
rnacentral:rRNA from 1 species